rnacentral:rRNA from 1 species
CCUACGGGUGGCAGCAGUGGGGAAUAUUGGACAAUGGGCGCAAGCCUGAUCCAGCCAUGCCGCGUGAGUGAUGAAGGCCCUAGGGUUGUAAAGCUCUUUCACCGGUGAAGCGGUAACCGGAGAAGAAGCCCCGGCUAACUUCGUGCCAGCAGCCGCGGUAAUACGAAGGGGGCUAGCGUUGUUCGGAAUUACUGGGCGUAAAGCGCACGUAGGCGGAUAUUUAAGUUAGGGGUGAAAUCCCAGGGCUCAACCCUGGAACUGCCUCUAAUACUGGGUAUCUCGAGUCCGAGAGAGGUGAGUGGAAUUCCGAGUGUAGAGGUGAAAUUCGUAGAUAUUCGGAGGAACACCAGUGGCGAAGGCGGCUCACUGGCUGGACUGACGCUGAGGUGCGAAAGCGUGGGGAGCAAACAGGAUUAGAUACCCUUGUAGUC